AUUGAACGCUGGCGGCAUGCCUUACACAUGCAAGUCGAACGGCGGCGGGCCUUCGGGUGCCGGCGAGUGGCGAACGGGUGAGUAAUGCAUCGGAACGUGCCAUUGAGUGGGGGAUAACGUAGCGAAAGUUACGCUAAUACCGCAUAUUCUGUGAGCAGGAAAGCAGGGGGACCGCAAGGCCUUGCGCUCUUUGAGCGGCCGAUGUCAGAUUAGCUAGUUGGUGAGGUAAAGGCUUACCAAGGCGACGAUCUGUAGCGGGUCUGAGAGGAUGAUCCGCCACACUGGAACUGAGACACGGUCCAGACUCCUACGGGAGGCAGCAGUGGGGAAUUUUGGACAAUGGGCGCAAGCCUGAUCCAGCCAUGCCGCGUGAGUGAAGAAGGCC
rnacentral:rRNA from 1 species